AACGAACGCUGGCGGCAUGCCUAACACAUGCAAGUCGAACGAGACCUUCGGGUCUAGUGGCGCACGGGUGCGUAACGCGUGGGAACCUGCCCUUAGGUUCGGAAUAACUCCCCGAAAGGGGUGCUAAUACCGGAUCAUGUCUUCGGACCAAAGAUUUAUCGCCUUUGGAUGGGCCCGCGUUGGAUUAGCUAGUUGGUAGGGUAAAAGCCUACCAAGGCGACGAUCCAUAGCUGGUCUGAGAGGAUGAUCAGCCACACUGGGACUGAGACACGGCCCAGACUCCUACGGGAGGCAGCAGUGGGGAAUAUUGGACAAUGGGCGAAAGCCUGAUCCAGCAAUGCCGCGUGAGUGAUGAAGGCCUUAGGGUUGUAAAGCUCUUUUACCCGGGAUGAUAGUGACAGUACCGGGAGAAUAAGCUCCGGCUAACUCCGUG
rnacentral:rRNA from 1 species